AAAAGCGGAGGAAAAGAAACUAACAAGGAUUCCCCUAGUAACGGCGAGUGAAGAGGGAAAAGCCCAAAUUUGUAAUCUGGCUCUUUUAGAGUCCGAGUUGUAAUUUUGAGAACUGUUUUCCGUGCUGGACCAUGUACAAGUCUGUUGAAAAACAGCAUCAUUGAGGGUGAAAAUCCCGUACAUGAUAUGGACUACCAGUGCAAUGUGAUACAGUCUCUAAGAGUCGAGUUGUUUGGGAAUGCAGCUCAAAGUGGGUGGUAAAUUCCAUCUAAGGCUAAAUAUAGGUGAGAGACCGAUAGCAAACAAGUACCGUGAGGGAAAGAUGAAAAGAACUUUGGAAAGAGAGUUAACAGUACGUGAAAUUGUUAAAAGGGAAACAUUUGAAGUUAGACUUGUUAUUGUUGGUUCAGCUUUCUUUUUUGAAGGUGUAUUCCAAUGGUUAACAGACCAGCAUCAAUUUUUGRGUGUUAGAUAAGGGUCUUGAGAAUGUAGCAAUUUCGGUUGUGUUAUAGCUCUUGACUUUGAUAUAAUGCUUAGGAUUGAGGAACGCAGUGAGCUUUUUAUUAAGUGGAUGCCUUUGGGGAUCUUCUCACUACGGAUGUUGGUGUAAUAGCUUUUAAAUGACCCGUCU
rnacentral:rRNA from 1 species